AUCGGGCUUGGUUAGUACUUGGAUGGGUGACCGCUUGGGAAUACCAAGUGUGAUAAGCA
rfam:Ciona savignyi cont_62997, whole genome shotgun sequence.